AGUGAACGCUGGCGGUAGGCCUAACACAUGCAAGUCGAACGGCAGCACAGUAAGAGCUUGCUCUUACGGGUGGCGAGUGGCGGACGGGUGAGGAAUACAUCGGAAUCUACUUUUUCGUGGGGGAUAACGUAGGGAAACUUACGCUAAUACCGCAUACGACCUACGGGUGAAAGCAGGGGAUCUUCGGACCUUGCGCGAUUGAAUGAGCCGAUGUCGGAUUAGCUAGUUGGCGGGGUAAAGGCCCACCAAGGCGACGAUCCGUAGCUGGUCUGAGAGGAUGAUCAGCCACACUGGAACUGAGACACGGUCCAGACUCCUACGGGAGGCAGCAGUGGGGAAUAUUGGACAAUGGGCGCAAGCCUGAUCGAGCCACACCGCGUGGGUGAAGAAGGCCUUCGGGUUGUAAAGCCCUUUUGUUGGGAAAGAAAAGCAGCAGGUUAAUCCCCCGCUGUUCUGACGGUACCCAAAGAAUAAGCACCGGCUAACUUCGUG
rnacentral:rRNA from 1 species